UGAGGAAUAUUGGGCAAUGCCCGCAAGGGUGACCCAGCAACGCCGCGUGGAGGAUGAAUGUCGUAAGAUUGUAAACUCCUGUUAGAGGGGAAGAAUAGUACCGGUUGGACCGGUAUAUGACUGUACCCUCAGAGAAAGCCCCGGCUAACUACGUGCCAGCAGCCGCGGUAAUACGUAGGGGGCAAGCGUUGUCCGGAUUUACUGGGCGUAAAGCGCGUGCAGGCGGUCCAGCAAGUUGGAUGUGAAAGCUCCCGGCUUAACUGGGAGAGGUCGUUCAAUACUACUGGACUUGAGAGUGGUAGAGGGAGGUGGAAUUCCGGGUGUAGUGGUGAAAUGCGUAGAUAGCCGGAGGAACACCAGUGGCGAAAGCGGCCUCCUGGACCACUUCUGACGCUCAGACGCGAAAGCUAGGGUAGCGAACG
rnacentral:rRNA from 1 species